AAAUUAUGUUUUACACCAAAAUCUGAGAUAAGGAGUAAAACACGAACCGAGCUUGUCAACGAACCAAUAGUUGGAUGAGUGCUUUGCCUGUCCCUGAUUGAGUCUUGAGACAAAAUUGCAAAUCAACAUCUUUGCACAAUUCUCCAAUGGAUGAAGGUUGUUGGUUGAUGGCAAUAUCUCUUGCUCUGAAUCUGCAACACUUUCUUCUUCGAAAAGAGGUGGAUUUGUGUUCUUUUCUAUUUGGCCACCUUUGUAUGAUGUUUCGCCUGCAUGCACGCUUUAUAGUUGAUCUUCCUACUGUAAGAACAAGUAAAUUCUUGCUAAUGUCAGUACAUAAUAAAACAUUUAGUUUCA